UCUUAUGGAUCAGCAAAGGAAGGGGCUUCUUGAGAUAGAUUCUACUCCUGGUGAAGAUGUUGUGAA
rnacentral:pre_miRNA from 1 species